GACGAACGCUGGCGGCGUGCUUAACACAUGCAAGUCGAACGCACGGCCUUGGGGUUUUCUUGGGGUUGGUGAGUGGCGAACGGGUGAGUAACACGUGAGUAACCUGCCCCUUCUUUGGGAUAACGGUCGGAAACGGCUGCUAAUACUGGAUAUUCACACAUUGUCGCAUGGUGGUGUGUGGAAAGCUUUUGUGGUGGGGAUGGGCUCGCGGCCUAUCAGCUUGUUGGUGGGGUGAUGGCUUACCAAGGCUUUGACGGGUAACCGGCCUGAGAGGGUGACCGGUCACAUUGGGACUGAGAUACGGCCCAG
rnacentral:rRNA from 1 species